rnacentral:rRNA from 1 species
UGGCGGCGUGCUUAACACAUGCAAGUCGAACGGAAAGGCUCCAGCUUGCUGGAGUACUCGAGUGGCGAACGGGUGAGUAACACGUGGGCAAUCUGCCCUGCACUCUGGGAUAAGCCUGGGAAACUGGGUCUAAUACUGGAUAGGACCUUUCUCCUCAUGGGGUUUGGUGGAAAGUUUUUCGGUGCAGGAUGAGCCCGCGGCCUAUCAGCUUGUUGGUGGGGUAAUGGCCUACCAAGGCGACGACGGGUAGCCGGCCUGAGAGAGUGAUCGGCCACAUUGGGACUGAGAUACGGCCCAGACUCCUACGGGAGGCAGCAGUGGGGAAUAUUGCACAAUGGGCGGAAGCCUGAUGCAGCGACGCCGCGUGGGGGAUGACGGCCUUCGGGUUGUAAACCUCUUUCAGUAGGGACGAAGCGUAAGUGACGGUACCUGCAGAAGAAGCACCGGCUAACUACGUGCCAGCAGCCGCGGUAAUACGUAGGGUGCGAGCGUUGUCCGGAAUUACUGGGCGUAAAGAGCUCGUAGGCGGUUUGUCACGUCGUCUGUGAAAUCCUAGGGCUUAACCCUGGACGUGCAGGCGAUACGGGCUGACUUGAGUACUACAGGGGAGACUGGAAUUUCUGGUGUAGCGGUGGAAUGCACAGAUAUCAGGAAGAACACCGAUGGCGAAGGCAGGUCUCUGGGUAGUAACUGACGCUGAGGAGCGAAAGCAUGGGUAGCGAACAGG